UGGCAGGUCUCGGUCUUUGAGUUCAAAUU
rnacentral:piRNA from 1 species